AGCGAACAUCACACUUGUCACUCCCCAGCCAUUUUCAUAAGUCCCAGGCCAAACCUCGCAAAAUGGUGAGUCUCCGCGCUCUGCUCGUGCUCGCUCUGACGGCGGUGAUGCAGGUGUGCUUCGCCGCCGCGUGGAAUUCGUACGGCGGGCACGACGACGACGGCGGGUACGGCGGUGAAAGGGACGACGGGCACGACGGGUACGACGGCGACCGGGACCAUGGGUACGACGGCGGGUACGACGACGAAGGGCACCGCGGUUGGUAGUUGUCUGGCGCGGCGCUUCUGGCGGCUCCGUGAACAAGAAAUAUAUAGAGGAAGAACCUAG
rnacentral:lncRNA from 1 species